rnacentral:rRNA from 1 species
AGAUUGAACGCUGGCGGCAGGCCUAACACAUGCAAGUCGGGCGGUAGAGAGGUGCUUGCAUCUCUUGAGAGCGGCGGACGGGUGAGUAAUGCCUAGGAAUCUGCCUAGUGGUGGGGGAUAACGUUCGGAAACGGACGCUAAUACCGCAUACGUCCUACGGGAGAAAGCGGGGGACCUUCGGGCCUCGCGCCAUUAGAUGAGCCUAGGUCGGAUUAGCUAGUUGGUGAGGUAAUGGCUCACCAAGGCGACGAUCCGUAACUGGUCUGAGAGGAUGAUCAGUCACACUGGAACUGAGACACGGUCCAGACUCCUACGGGAGCAGCAGUGGGAAUAUUGGACAAUGGGCGAAAGCCUGAUCCAGCCAUGCCGCGUGUGUGAAGAAGGUCUUCGGAUUGUAAAGCACUUUAAGUUGGAGGUAAGGUUGUAACUUAAUACGUUGCAACUUUGACGUUACCGACAGAAUAAGCAACCGGCUAACUUCGUGCCCAGCAGCCG